AUUGAACGCUGGCGGCAUGCCUUACACAUGCAAGUCGAACGGCAGCAUGGGGCAACCUGGUGGCGAGUGGCGAACGGGUGAGUAAUGCAUCGGAACACACCUUUCAGUGGGGGAUAACGUAGCGAAAGUUACGCUAAUACCGCAUAUUCUGUGAGCAGGAAAGCAGGGGAUCGCAAGACCUUGCGCUGAUUGAGCGGCCGAUGUCAGAUUAGCUAGUUGGUGAGGUAAAGGCUCACCAAGGCGACGAUCUGUAGCGGGUCUGAGAGGAUGAUCCGCCACACUGGAACUGAGACACGGUCCAGACUCCUACGGGAGGCAGCAGUGGGGAAUUUUGGACAAUGGGGGCAACCCUGAUCCAGCCAUGCCGCGUGAGUGAAGAAGGCCUUCGGGUUGUAAAGCUCUUUCGGCCGGGAAGAAAUCGCACGGGCUAAUACCCUGUGUGGAUGACGGUACCGGAAUAAGAAGCACCAGCUAACUACGUGCCAGCCGCCGCGGUAACAC
rnacentral:rRNA from 1 species